UACGUAGGGUGCGAGCGUUAAUCGGAAUUACUGGGCGUAAAGCGUGCGCAGGCGGUUUUGCAAGCCGGGUGUGAAAUCCCCGGGCUCAACCUGGGAAUGGCAUUCGGGACUGCAAGGCUGGAGUGCGGCAGAGGAGACUGGAAUUCCUGGCGUAGCAGUGAAAUGCGUAGAUAUCAGGAGGAAUACCGAUGGCGAAGGCAGGUCUCUGGGCUGACACUGACGCUCAUGCACGAAAGCGUGGGGAGCAAACAGG
rnacentral:rRNA from 1 species